rnacentral:rRNA from 1 species
UACGUAGGGGGCAAGCGUUGUCCGGAUUUAUUGGGCGUAAAGAGCGUGUAGGCGGCUUUACAGGUCCGUUGUGAAAACUCGAGACUCAACCUCGAGACGCCGGUGGAAACCGUAAAGCUAGAGUCCGGAAGAGGAGAGUGGAAUUCCUGGUGUAGCGGUGAAAUGCGCAGAUAUCAGGAGGAACACCCGUGGCGAAAGCGGCUCUCUGGGACGGUACUGACGCUGAGACGCGAAAGCGUGGGGAGCAAACAGG